CAGUAGCCGCGGGAAUACAGAGGGUGCGAGCGUUAAUCGGAUUUACUGGGCGUAAAGCGUGCGUAGGCGGCUUUUUAAGUCGGAUGUGAAAUCCCUGAGCUUAACUUAGGAAUUGCAUUCGAUACUGGGAAGCUAGAGUAUGGGAGAGGAUGGUAGAAUUCCAGGUGUAGCGGUGAAAUGCGUAGAGAUCUGGAGGAAUACCGAUGGCGAAGGCAGCCAUCUGGCCUAAUACUGACGCUGAGGUACGAAAGCAUGUGGAGCAAACAGGAUUAGAUACCCCAGUAGUCCCUGUCUCUUAUAC
rnacentral:rRNA from 1 species